rnacentral:tRNA from 1 species
GCUGGGGUUGUGGCUCAGUGGUAGAGCGCUUGCCUAGCAUGUGUGAGGCACUGGGUUCAAGUCUCAGCCCUGCA